rnacentral:rRNA from 1 species
UGCAAGUCGAGCGGAUGAGAAGAGCUUGCUCUUCGAUUCAGCGGCGGACGGGUGAGUAAUACCUAGGAAUCUGCCUGGUAGUGGGGGACAACGUUUCGAAAGGAACGCUAAUACCGCAUACGUCCUACGGGAGAAAGCAGGGGACCUUCGGGCCUUGCGCUAUCAGAUGAGCCUAGGUCGGAUUAGCUAGUUGGUGAGGUAAUGGCUCACCAAGGCUACGAUCCGUAACUGGUCUGAGAGGAUGAUCAGUCACACUGGAACUGAGACACGGUCCAGACUCCUACGGGAGGCAGCAGUGGGGAAUAUUGGACAAUGGGCGAAAGCCUGAUCCAGCCAUGCCGCGUGUGUGAAGAAGGUCUUCGGAUUGUAAAGCACUUUAAGUUGGGAGGAAGGGCAGUAAGCGAAUACCUUGCUGUUUUGACGUUACCGACAGAAUAAGCACCGGCUAACUCUGUGCCAGCAGCCGCGGUAAUACAGAGGGUGCAAGCGUUAAUCGGAAUUACUGGGCGUAAAGCGCGCGUAGGUGGUUCGUUAAGUUGGAUGUGAAAUCCCCCGGGCUCAACCUGGGAACUGCAUC